rnacentral:lncRNA from 1 species
CACACUGUGCGUGUGUGUGGUCGAUCGCACAAGGCAGAGGGAAAGGGGUAAACCCUAAUUCUCAAGAAAUCUCCAAAUUGAAAAGGGAAUUGAAGGUUUUUAGGAUGCAUGUAUCAAGAUUAUCGAUCUCCUAAGUGUUCUUCACUAUCAAGGACGUGUCAAGGAGAGGUCAAGCAUAGGAGGAUAACGGGUCAAGAUAAGGCAAGGUGACAAAUACACUUAAUGGAGUACUCGAGGUAAGUGAAUUUCGAUUCACUUUUUAGUAGGUUUAAUAGAUUUUAAUAUUUAUGUUUACGAAACAUCAUGAAAGAACAUGUAAUAAUCAGAAGUACAAAGCCAAUAAUGCCUCAUUAUUGAGGAAGGUUGUAUUAAGCCGAAAGUAAAUUGGUGGGUUUAAACGGGUCGAAUUUUAUGUGCAUAUGUUGUGUAAUGUAAUGAAAUUCGUUAUGGUUAAGACCUUGGGUAGGAAUUUUUAGUCAUUAUGUAAGGGGAACACUUCCCGGACCAUUAGGAACAAGUUUUAUAUGAUUCGGUUGUCGGUUAGUUAAUGAACGGAUUGUUUCAUGUUAGUGUAGGAAAUUUUAUAAGUAUAUGUGUAUAGGAACCCAAAAGGGCACGUGGGUUGAAUCAUAGAUUGUUUAUACUAUGUAAAGUUGUGAAUGUGACAUUCCGGCAUAAACCGACAUGUAAAAGAAGCUUGUGUAUAUAUUCGUGAUUAAUUGAUUGUGCGUAGGAAGGAACAUUGGCAUGUAUGAAGGUACGCAUGUAUAUGUAAGUGUGUAUAUAUAUAUAUGUAUGUAUGUAUGAUAAUAAGUACGUAGGUGUGAAUGUAUGUGUGAAUGAAUGUUCAAUGCUUAAGACAUAUGCAUGAACGUUAUCAAAGUGUUCGAGUAUUUAUGGUUACUAAUGAUGUGCGUUGAGUUGGAAUGUAAUGUAGGUAUGGGAUCGUUGGCUUCAUGAAGAAAUGGAGCUGGAUUUGGAUAAGAGUAUUUAAGAAAGCGCUUGGACAAUUCCACGACUACUUUAUAGAAUGCUCUACGAAAUUCUAUUAUAUAGUUUAAUGUUGUAUGGUAUGUUAAUGACUAAUGGUUUGGUUGUACGUGGUGUCCACAGGUAUCGCUUGGGUUUUCUCUACAUUUAUUGAAGUGAAGCGGACUUAGUUCGAGUUGAGAGCAAGGAUUGUACGGGGUAGAAUGGUCACAUAGUGUAACUCAUAUAGAUUUUGAAGUAUUUGAACCUUCAUGUGUUUGAUAUGUCUAUUAAAGAACGAAAUUUUUGGGCUCUUGUUUUCCGCUGCGUCGUAUUUUAAGUUAUUAUACGUUAGUCUUACAGGGAAUUGUUCUUAUUACGAAUGGGUCAUGCCCGAAUUUUGUUAAAUAAUAGUAUGAUAAUAU